rnacentral:rRNA from 1 species
CGGACGCCUCCUUCAAUGGUGGACGGCCUUAAGCCAGGGCAGAGGAAGGUUUUGUUCUGCUCCUUCAAGAAGAAUCUGGUUAAAGAAACCAAGGUGGCAGAUUUUAUUAGUUAUGUGUCAAAACACUCGGCAUACACCCACGGUGAGCAGAGUCUGGCAUGCGUGAUCAUACGAAUGGCUCAAGAUUUUGUUGGCGCCAAUAACAUUAACCUUUUGGAGCCCCGCGGGCAGUAUGGUACCAGGAAUUCGGGGGGCGAAGAUGCUGCUGAAGCCUUGUUCAUCUACACCAGAUUACAACCUAUCGCCCGUUUAAUUUUUCCGAAGGACGACGAUGCUCUGCUCAACUACUUGACUGAAGCUGGAAAGUCAAUUGAACCCAGUUGGUAUAUGCCAAUCAUUCCCAUGGUUUUGGUCAAUGGGAGUGGCAUUGGCACUGGAUCGAGCAGCUAUGUCCCAAACUACAAUCCAAGGGACAUUAUCGCUAAUCUGAAAAGGUUGCUAAAUGAAGAGGCUGUCGUACCAAUGGAACCUUGGUACAAGGGUUUCAAGGGCUCUGUGAAGAAGACAAGGUCAAAGGCAGCGGGUGCCACAUAUACCAUCAGUGGUGUUAUAGAGAAGGUUGAUGACACCAAGCUUAGAAUUACUGAGCUUCCCAUCCGCUGCUGGACUAACGAUUACAAAGAGUUUCUUGAAUCCAUACAUGUUUGGAAAGAACCAACGUUUCUAGAGGAAUGCCAAUCACGAUGCGAUCAUGCAAGUGUGGAGUUUGAGGUUAUCUUGAGUGAGCAAAACAUGAAUGUUGCUACGCGAGAAGGCCUUGAGAAGAAAUUCAAGCUGACAACCACAAUAGAAACAACAAACAUGCACUUGCUCGACUCGGAUGGAAAAAUUCGAAAAUAUAACACCCCAGAGGACAUACUUAAAGAGUUCUUUAAACUGAGGCUCGAAUACUAUUGGAGAAGAAAGGCAGUAAUGUUGAAAAAUAUUGGGAAAGAGUUGUUGAAGCCUAAGAACCAAGUGAGGUUUAUUCUUGCUGUUAUUUCCGGGGACAUCGUGGUCAAUAACAGGAAGAGGGCAGAGCUAUUCCUGGAGCUUAAGCAGAAGGGCUAUCAACCUUUCCCACAGAAAAAAGUUGUAGCUAAUGAAGUAGACGAGGAAAGUAAUUAUGAGUACCUUCUCGCAAUGCCGAUUGGUAACUUGACACUGGAGAAAGUACAGGAGCUCCUUGCAGAACAGAAGAAAUUAGAGGACGAACAUGAAUUUCUAGGCAAAGCAACUCCGGAAAUUCUUUGGCUGAGAGACCUUGAUGCUCUUGAAAAGGAACUGGAUGUGCUUGAUGCAAAAUUUCAAGCUGAACAGGAGGAGACAAGACGUAAGCGGGAAAAUUACUUCAAAGACGAGAAGGCGUCUAAAGCCGCACCCAAGAGACGACGGCCUAAUAAGACUGCAGCCAAAUCUCAGAAG